CCACUAGGAGCAAGGAAUAUCUCCUACUUUGGAAUCCUAGUGGAUAUCACAACAAACCAUCAUCCUCACCAUUAAACCAACACCUAACUAGCAUCCUAAUCAACUGAUGUAGUGAAAGAUUUUUUCUCCUUGUUUGAGAGGACUAGGAAAUAUUCUCAAAUUAUAUCUUGAUGGGAUAGACCAUUGAAAUUAUUGAUCAUCAAUGAGGAAUUCCUUGUAAGAAUGUGUCAGUGUUUUAUGUUUCCUCUGUCCC
rnacentral:ncRNA from 1 species